rnacentral:rRNA from 1 species
GGAAUAUUGGACAAUGGGCGCAAGCCUGAUCCAGCCAUGCCGCGUGAGUGAAGACGGCCUUCGGGUUGUAAAGCUCUUUCGCGAGGGAAGAAAACGUACGGGCCAAGACCCUGUGCGGAUGACGGUACCUUGAUAACAAGCACCGGCUACGUACGUGCCAACAGCCGCGGUAAUAGGUAGGGUGCGAGCGUUAAUCGGAAUUACUGGGCGUAAAGCGUGCGCAGGCGGUUUUGUAAGACAGAUGUGAAAUCCCCGGGCUUAACCUGGGAACUGCGUUUGUGACUGCAAGGCUAGAGUACGGCAGAGGGGGGUGGAAUUCCACGUGUAGCAGUGAAAUGCGUAGAUAUGUGGAGGAACACCGAUGGCGAAGGCAGCCCCCUGGGCCUGUACUGACGCUCAUGCACGAAAGCGUGGGGAGCAAAC